rnacentral:rRNA from 1 species
UACGUAGGGGGCAAGCGUUGUCCGGAUUUAUUGGGCGUAAAGAGCGUGUAGGCGGUUUGGUAGGUCCGCUGUGAAAACCCGAGGCUCAACCUCGGGCCUGCAGUGGGUACGGGCAGACUAGAGUGCGGUAGGGGAGAUUGGAAUUCCUGGUGUAGCGGUGGAAUGCGCAGAUAUCAGGAGGAACACCAAUGGCGAAGGCAGAUCUCUGGGCCGUAACUGACGCUGAGGAGCGAAAGCAUGGGGAGCGAACAGG